rnacentral:rRNA from 1 species
AGAAUCAACGCUGGCGGCGUGCCUAACACAUGCAAGUCGAACGAGAAAGUGGAGCAAUCCAUGAGUAAAGUGGCGACCGGGUGAGUAACACGUGACUAACCUACCUUCGAGUGGGGGAUAACCUCGGGAAACCGGGGCUAAUACCGCAUAAUAUCCACGGAUCAAAGGAGCAAUUCGCUUGAAGAGGGGGUCGCGGCUGAUUAGUUAGUUGGCGGGGUAAUGGCCCACCAAGACAAUGAUCGGUAGCCGGCCUGAGAGGGCGCACGGCCACACUGGAACUGAAACACGGUCCAGACUCCUACGGGAGGCAGCAGUGGGAAUUUUGCGCAAUGGGGAAACCCUGACGCAGCAACGCCGCGUGGAGGAUGAAGUCCCUUGGGACGUAAACUCCUUUCGACUGGGAAGAUAAUGACGGUACCAGUGGAAGAAGCCCCGGCUAACUUCGUGCCAGCAGCCGC